AUAAGCCCUUCAUUUUCUUUUAAUUGUAAAUUCAUGUACUUAGUGUCUUGAUGAAUCAAUGAUUAAUGAUUAAAUAAACUAAGAUUUGAUCAUGACUGUGAUGGAACACUAAGAUUGUGUUCAAUCGAUGGACCUUUAUUGAUACUUGAAAGAAUCAAAUACAAGAACAAAAUAAAGUAGUAAAGAAAUGAAUUGAGAAAUCUCAAUUUGGUUACAAUCUCUCUGUUACCUUCUCUCUCAAAGGUGCACAAUGAUAGACUCCCUAUUAUCCACCGAUAUAGUAGAUUAGGGAAGAAGGAUUAAUAUGGGCACAUGUGAAUAUUAGAGUAGGCACAUGUGAGUUAGUUUUUGAGAAUUAAAUCUGGAAUCUGUGCACCUUUGAGAGAGAAGGUAACAGAGAGAUUGUAACCGAAUUGGGAUUUCUCAGUUCGUUUCUUUAUUAUUUUAUUUUGUUCUUGUAUUCAAUUCUUUCAAGUAUCAAUAAAGGUCCAUCGAUAGAACACAAUCUUAGUGUUCCAUCAUAAUGUAAUUUAGAAAUUACUUUCUAAGUUUUGCCAUUAGUAAUUAUAUUCACACAUACAUAUUUUGUACGGAUACAAACCUCUUUAUUAAAUGUAUUAAUAAAAGAGUCUAAUGUUCAAACUACAUGAAAAUCAUAACAAACAAAAGGAUAGACGAAUUGAACAAACAAAAACAACACAAGUGAAACCUGAGCAAAACAAAAGAAAAAUAAGAACAAAACAAACUUAAAAAAACUUACCACAAGAAGCCCAAAAACAGCUGAAGAUUGCAAACUAAAACAGGUAACACCGAGGGAGAGCAAAUAGCCAAGCAGCUUGUUGAUGAAAAAAUAUGCUUCCUAAGUAGUCCUUAAAUCGUGGAGGUAGUGACUAUAACCAGAAUAUUUGAGAACAACUUUAGAGGGCUAAAAUAAUAGAAGCAUACGUCAAACCACUCGUGAUCCACUAAUACAGCUCAAACGAAAACAAUUCCCCCUUUGUCAACAAUGUACUUCAAGUGAUUUGGAAUUUCACAGUGCUAAGCUUGUGAAGGAAAUAAAGAGGUCUGUUUCUCAGUAAUUAGAUCCUCCCCUGUCUGAAACAAGGUAUUGAGAUCAAAUUCUAAAGAUCCUUAAUCGACUAGUCAUCCUUCUUCCAUGUGUUUGACAUAUGUUCAGCUUCCUUGCUGCACACAUUAAAAGGAGAGUUGAAAUCUGAGACUUUUUUUUUAUGAAGUGUGGAGUUUGGGUAGGGGGGACCUCUAAAAAAUUUGACAUUUGAAUUAGGCAAACAUGUAUUUAUAAUGGAGGAUGAAUUGAUAUAUGAGGAACUGACUUGUUUGAUUGAGUAUGGGCUUGCAAAAGGGCACAUUUUGCCUAAAAAUGAGGGUUAUGAUCCAGAAGCAUUAGUAAUUAUAUUCAUGUUGAUGAUGUUCUUCUAAAAGCGAUAAACUAAAGAGACACCAAGUUACAUGAAACCCGACUGUCAAUGAUGUGAAAUUAUACGAUUUAUUGAAAAUGCUGAUGAUAUGAUGUAAACAAAAUCUAUGAUGAAUCUUGGUCAUGUUCACCCAUUCUUUGGAUUGUUCACCGUUUAAUAUUAUGCCAACAUGUUUAUUUGAAAGGAAGCAUAUAUCCUCGUGAGUACAAUUGUUUUUAGAUGUUUUAAAAAUCAUCCUCAUGAAUUUGCACUCCUCUUCCACAAGAAAUACUAAGGGUAGAAGAUGCUUAUUUGAAUCAACAAAUGUGGUAAUUAAUAACUUCCCUCGAUACUUGUCAUACAAGUGAGUGUCGUCGAUUUGAAUAAUU
rnacentral:lncRNA from 1 species